GGGCCAUUGAGGGCCAUUGAGGGCACAGAGAAGAAACCACUGAAACCCUGUUGUGCGUGCCCUGAGACGAAGAAAGUCAGGGAUGUUUGUGUGCUGUUGGUGGCCGGCUGUCCGGAAGGAGACCUGGGAUAUUUCUUGUUUGUAUUUAUACUGCAACCUGAAUAGAAGAUGUGAUCUCUGCAAGGAUGGUGUUCCACUGAGUGAAAUGUGUUGGCUUAAUGCUCAGAUUUUCUGAAUGAUGUGAAUCUUGUUCUGCUGAUUAGAAUUAAAUAUAUGUCCUAUGCAAAA